UUGAUGCAUUACCGGUGCCUCCUUUGAUCAUCUGAUUCUCAUUAUAUGAAUUUAGAUUGAUCAUUGGGUUUCAAGGCUGAGAUUACACGGUCGGAACUUGAUCUAGUUAGUACUAGCGAAAAGAAAAUGCAAUAUCCAAUUC
rnacentral:ncRNA from 1 species